rnacentral:rRNA from 1 species
ACCCGUCUUGAAACACGGACCAAGGAGUCUAUUUAUUAUGCAAGUGUGAGGGUGUAAAAACCUGAACGCGUACCGAAAGGGAGAGAAGGUGUGAAGCGCAAGCUGCAACAUCGGCCAUCCUGAUCCUUUGGAAACGGGCAUGAGCAAGAGCAUAAUGAAUAGGACCCGAAAGAUGAUGAACUACACUUGAGUAGGGCGAAGCCAGGGGAAACUCUGGUGGAGGCUCGUAGCGGUACUGACGUGCAAAUCGUUUGUCAAACUUGCGUGUAGGGGCGAAAGACUAAUCGAAUCUUCUAGUAGCUGGUUCCCUCUGAAAUUUCUCUCAGGAUAGCUGGAGCAGUUAAUACAGUUUUAUCAGGUAAAGCUAAUGAUUAGAGGAAUCGGAGCUCAGCGGGCUUUGACCUAUUCUCAAACUUUAAAUUGGUAAGAACUCUUUGUUAUCUUAAUUGAACAUUGAGGAUGAAUGUAGUGCUUCAAGUGGGCCGUUUUUGGUAAGCAGAACUGGCAAUGAGGGAUGAACCUAACGCUGAGAUAAGGUGCCUAAAUUCACGCUCAUCAGAUACCAAAAAAGGUGUUAGUUAAUUUAGACAGAUGGGCUGUGGCCCUGGCAGUAGGAAUCAGCUAAGGAGUGUGUAACAACUCACCAGCCGAAUUAACUAGCCCUGAAAAUUGAUGGCGCUGUAGCGUGAUACCGAUACUCAGCCAUCGUUUCAAAUAAAAGAAAUGAUGUGUAAGAGGGCGUGAGCAAUGUUUUGAAGGCUUUGAUGUGAAUCUGGCUGGAACAAUGCUUAGUGCAGAUCUUGGUGGUAGUAGUAAAUAUUCAAAUGAGAACUUUGAAGGCCGAAGUGGAGAAGGGUUCCAUGAGAACAGCAAUUGGUCAUGGGUUACUCGCUCCUAAGACAUAGGGAAAUUCCUUGUAAUAUAUGCGGACUUCGUCUGCAGAGUCGAAAGGGAAUGAGGUUAAUAUUCCUCAAGUGGAACGUGGAUAAUUUGUGGUAACACAAAUGAGCUUGGAGACAUCGGUAUGUACCCCUGGAAGAGUUCUCUUUUCUUCUUAACAAUCUAUCUCCCUGGAUGAAUUAUUCAGAGAUAGGGAUGUAUGAUUGGCAGAGCAAUUUAUUUUAGAUUGUCAGGUGUGUUCAUAACGAUCCUUGAAAAUCCAAGGGAGAUAUUAUAUCGCGUCCAGGCGUACCCAUAACCGCAUCAGGUCUCCAAGGUUAGCAGCCUCUGGUCGAUAGAAGAACGUAAAUAAGGGAAUUCGGCAAAUUAGAUCCGUAACUUCGGGAAAAGGAUUGGCUCUGAGGAUUGGGUGACCAGGGCCUAGACACGAAGGCAGACAUUUACUUGGACCAAUCUCACGGUAGGGCUGAGUUUAUGGAAACUGGAAUGUCUUGGCGACUCACGUCUUACUUGGUCACGUAAAACAAUCAACUCAGAACUGAAGCGGACAAGGGGAAUCCGACUGUUUAAUAAAAACAUAGCUUUGUGAUGGCCUGAAAAGGUGAUGACACAAAGUGAUUUCUGCCCAGUGCUUUGAACGUGAAUGUAAAGUAAUUUAUAGAAGCUCAGGUAAACGGCGGGAGUAACUAUGACUCUCUUAAGGUAGCCAAAUGCCUCGUCGUUUAAUUUGCGACGCGCAUGAAUGGAUCAAUGAGAUUCCCACUGUCCCUAUUUACCAUCUAACGAACCCACUGUCAAGGGAACGGGCUUGAAAUAAUCAGCGGGGAAAGAAGACCCUGUUGAGCUUGACUCUAGUCCGACUUUGUGAAAUGGCUUGCAGGGUAUAGCCUAGGUGGGAGCUUCGGCAAUCCUGUAAAACCACUACUUGUAACGCCAUUUUGCUUACUCCGUAAGAAAGCGACCGGUUCUCCGGUUCUUAGAGCUAAGGGCAUUUAUGUCUGAGUUUUGCGGAAGACACAGUCAGGUGGGGAGUUUGGCUGGGGCGGCACAUCUGUUAAAAUGCAACGCAGGUGUCCUAUGGUGAGCUCAAAGAGAACAGAAAUCUCUUGUAGACCAAAAGGGGAAAAGCUCACUUGAUUUUGAUAUUCAGCACAUAUACAAACCGUGAAAGCGUGGCCUAUC